AGCUUUGCGCAGUGGCAGUAUCGUAACCAAUGAGGGAUAACCGAGGUGCGAUUAUUGCUAGUUGAAAACUUUUCCCAAUACCCCGCCUAGUUGACGUGAAAUACCGACAAAGGAUGGCAUGUUUUUUAUCAGCCCUAACUUGGG